GGCAAGAUGGCCGAGUGGUCUAAGGCGCCAGACUUAGGUAAUUGCAUACUUACAUAUCUGGUCCUCCGGGGCGUGGGUUCGAACCCCACUCUUGUCA